CUAACACAACAGCCUGUGUAAUUACAUGUUCCUGGGAAGUGUGUUAGCUCCACAGGGAGCUGAGUCCAUUUGGAGAGGAGGAGGAAGAGACUUUCUUUUGGUGGUGGGGUAUUGUAAGGUGAAAAGUGUCAGCGUGUAACCCAGCUCUUGCUUGAAUAUGAUAAAGGCGUCUGCUUUCAAAACCAGCCGAAGCAGGGCAUUGCAAGAAGAGAGAAGAGGUUUGACCCUGUUGGAAGCGUUAGCUGUGGGCUCUGUGGAUGCUUUACUGUGACGGAGGGCCGAGGGCUGACUGAGUCGUGGGGAGGAUUUGUACAUAGGAAGAGAGGAGAUGGCUGUGCAGCGUGCUCCCGAAUCUGCUCUGAGCUUGCUGAUGAUGUUUCCACCGUGCAGGUGUGUGGGCCUCAUCCACAGGCUUCCCAGAAGGUCUGGCCAGGAGAUGAUAAUGCGCUAUGGCACCCGAGGUCGCUGGGAAGGAGCUGUGCCAGUAGGAAUCUCCCUUCCUCUGUGGCUCCUUCCUUCUCCAGCCAGGCAGUAAUUUGCUAAUGGGCUUCACAAAUAGCACCAGCUGAGCUGUGCUGGUUGCUCUUUUAGAGGAUGGGAUGGCAGUAGCAAAUUCCUGCUUGGUGCUUUGUGGCUGCUUGCUACUGUGGACUGGGAAUUUAGCCAUUUCUUUUUGAUAAGUUCCCCCAUAGCAUGGAAUUCUAUAUGAGCUUUCCUAUAUUCCUCCAUAAACUAACAGUAAGGCUUCAAAAACUGUGAUUUAAUUCAGCUGAAUGACAUUAAACACUCCUUGGAAUUACUCUUGGCUUCCCUGUGGUGGAUGUCACCUUUUACCCAUCUGAGCUGCAGGGCUGUGAAAUUGUUAUCCCUUUGAUUCUGCUCCAGUGCAUGCCAUCAAUUUCCCUUUCCUUGUCUCUCUGCAUGAACAUGCUGUGGAAGAAGCAGACCAUAAUGUUUGUGCAUCUGAAUUCUCAUUAUUACUACACUUUAAAGCAGGAGUAAAGAUAACUGA